GAUGAACGCUAGCGGGAGGCUUAACACAUGCAAGUCGAGCGGGAUCCCCUUCGGGGGUGAGAGCGGCGCACGGGUGCGUAACGCGUAUGCAACCUGCCUUAUACAGGGGGAUAGCCCAUGGAAACGUGGAUUAAUAUCCCAUAGGAUUAAAGUUUCGCAUGAAACUAUGAUUAAAACUGAGGUGGUAUAAGAUGGGCAUGCGUCUGAUUAGGUAGUUGGUGGGGUAACGGCCCACCAAGCCGACGAUCAGUAGGGGUUCUGAGAGGAUUACCCCCCACACUGGUACUGAGACACGGACCAGACUCCUACGGGAGGCAG
rnacentral:rRNA from 1 species